UAGGGAAUCUUCCGCAAUGGGCGAAAGCCUGACGGAGCAACGCCGCGUGAGUGAUGAAGGUCUUCGGAUCGUAAAACUCUGUUAUUAGGGAAGAACAAAUGUGUAAGUAACUAUGCACGUCUUGACGGUACCUAAUCAGAAAGCCACGGCUAACUACGUGCCAGCAGCCGCGGUAAUACGUAGGUGGCAAGCGUUAUCCGGAAUUAUUGGGCGUAAAGCGCGCGUAGGCGGUUUUUUAAGUCUGAUGUGAAAGCCCACGGCUCAACCGUGGAGGGUCAUUGGAAACUGGAAAACUUGAGUGCAGAAGAGGAAAAUGGAGUUCCAUGUGUGGCGGGGAAAUGCGCAGAGAUAUGGAGGAACACCAGUGGCGAAGGCGACUUUCUGGUCUGUAACUGACGCUGAUGUGCGAAAGCGUGGGGAUCAAACAGG
rnacentral:rRNA from 1 species